rnacentral:snRNA from 1 species
AAUUGUGUUAUGUGCUCAAAGCGAAUUAUUCUUUUGUCUUUUACUAAAUAAUAGUGUGUGCAUGUAAAUUAAAACGCCAUACACCUAUUUUUGGAGGGUUUUCUUUUUUAAAGCCC